rnacentral:rRNA from 1 species
GAUGAACGCUGGCGGCGUGCCUAAUACAUGCAAGUCGAGCGAACGGACGAGAAGCUUGCUUCUCUGAUGUUAGCGGCGGACGGGUGAGUAACACGCGGAUAACCUACCUAUAAGACUGGGAUAACUUCGGGAAACCGGAGCUAAUACCGGAUAAUAUUUUGAACCGCAUGGUUCAAAAGUGAAAGACGGUCUUGCUGUCACUUAUAGAUGGAUCCGCGCUGCAUUAGCUAGUUGGUAAGGUAACGGCUUACCAAGGCAACGAUGCAUAGCCGACCUGAGAGGGUGAUCGGCCACACUGGAACUGAGACACGGUCCAGACUCCUACGGGAGGCAGCAGUAGGGAAUCUUCCGCAAUGGGCGAAAGCCUGACGGAGCAACGCCGCGUGAGUGAUGAAGGUCUUCGGAUCGUAAAACUCUGUUAUUAGGGAAGAACAUAUGUGUAAGUAACUGUGCACAUCUUGACGGUACCUAAUCAGAAAGCCACGGCUAACUACGUGCCAGCAGCCGCGGUAAUACGUAGGUGGCAAGCGUUAUCCGGAAUUAUUGGGCGUAAAGCGCGCGUAGGCGGUUUUUUAAGUCUGAUGUGAAAGCCCACGGCUCAACCGUGGAGGGUCAUUGGAAACUGGAAAACUUGAGUGCAGAAGAGGAAAGUGGAAUUCCAUGUGUAGCGGUGAAAUGCGCAGAGAUAUGGAGGAACACCAGUGGCGAAGGCGACUUUCUGGUCUGUAACUGACGCUGAUGUGCGAAAGCGUGGGGAUCAAACAGGAUUAGAUACCCUGGUAGUCCACGCCGUAAACGAUGAGUGCUAAGUGUUAGGGGGUUUCCGCCCCUUAGUGCUGCAGCUAACGCAUUAAGCACUCCGCCUGGGGAGUACGACCGCAAGGUUGAAACUCAAAGGAAUUGACGGGGACCCGCACAUGCGGUGGAGCAUGUGGUUUAAUUCGAAGCAACGCGAAGAACCUUACCAAAUCUUGACAUCCUUUGACAACUCUAGAGAUAGAGCCUUCCCCUUCGGGGGACAAAGUGACAGGUGGUGCAUGGUUGUCGUCAGCUCGUGUCGUGAGAUGUUGGGUUAAGUCCCGCAACGAGCGCAACCCUUAAGCUUAGUUGCCAUCAUUAAGUUGGGCACUCUAAGUUGACUGCCGGUGACAAACCGGAGGAAGGUGGGGAUGACGUCAAAUCAUCAUGCCCCUUAUGAUUUGGGCUACACACGUGCUACAAUGGACAAUACAAAGGGCAGCGAAACCGCGAGGUCAAGCAAAUCCCAUAAAGUUGUUCUCAGUUCGGAUUGUAGUCUGCAACUCGACUACAUGAAGCUGGAAUCGCUAGUAAUCGUAGAUCAGCAUGCUACGGUGAAUACGUUCCCGGGUCU